GGCAGGUACUCGCAUGCUUCCCUUGACAGCAGACGCAGGCUGCAUUUAUUAACCCUCAAGUCACACCACUGACCUCCUUUUUCUGAAAUGUCUGAAGGAGGAACAGAUAGCUGGGUGCACGAACAUUCAGUAAGAGACCGACAGAGAUAAGGGCCCAGUUGCAUCCUUCUGUGAACGAGAUAACGGGGGUCUUCAGCACAAAGCAGGAGGAAAACCAGCUCAAGCCAUUGGAGCCUUGGCCAAACCCAGUGUGCUAGAUGAGAAGUGCAUGACAAGAUAGACUGCAGCCUUCGUCCAAAAGACCCCCGCCCGUGACCACCCGGAGACACUGUGCAGGCGCAACAGGAAAGAGCCAAAGGUGACCACUAUGGAUAUAAUUCCUUGGAACUCAUUUUAAUAAGAACGGCCUUUUCGAGGAAAAAGUUAUUCCAGGCAUUCCUGGAAUAACCAUGAAUGUGUAAUCCUUUACCACAUUUAACCAAGCUUGCUGCUACUGGAAAGGUGUGUGCCACGGUGGAGCGGAGACUCCCCGGCGGCCCAGCACUGUUUUGCCUGCUUGCUGCUUGCUGCAAUAAAUUCUAAGCAA